rnacentral:rRNA from 1 species
GUCGUAGAGCAGCACAGUGGUAGCAAUACCAUGGGUGGCGAGUGGCGGACGGGUGAGGAAUACAUCGGAAUCUACCUUUUCGUGGGGGAUAACGUAGGGAAACUUACGCUAAUACCGCAUACGACCUUAGGGUGAAAGCGGAGGACCUUCGGGCUUCGCGCGGAUAGAUGAGCCGAUGUCGGAUUAGCUAGUUGGCGGGGUAAAGGCCCACCAAGGCGACGAUCCGUAGCUGGUCUGAGAGGAUGAUCAGCCACACUGGAACUGAGACACGGUCCAGACUCCUACGGGAGGCAGCAGUGGGGAAUAUUGGACAAUGGGCGCAAGCCUGAUCCAGCCAUGCCGCGUGGGUGAAGAAGGCCUUCGGGUUGUAAAGCCCUUUUGUUGGGAAAGAAAAGCAGUCGGUUAAUACCCGAUUGUUCUGACGGUACCCAAAGAAUAAGCACCGGCUAACUUCGUGCCAGCAGCCGCGGUAAUACGAAGGGUGCAAGCGUUACUCGGAAUUACUGGGCGUAAAGCGUGCGUAGGUGGUUGUUUAAGUCCGUUGUGAAAGCCCUGGGCUCAACCUGGGAAUUGCAGUGGAUACUGGGCAACUAGAGUGUGGUAGAGGAUGGCGGAUUCCCGGUGUAGCAGUGAAAUGCGUAAAGAUCGGGAGGAACAUCUGUGGGCGAAGGCGGCCAUCUGGACCAACACUGACACUGAGCACGAAAGCGUGGGGGAGCAA